rnacentral:lncRNA from 1 species
UAAGGAAAAUGUGUUAAAGAUUAAAAAUCAAAAGGCGAGUAUUAAAAACGGGCUUUACAGAAUAGCACAUGUCAAAAUUGAUUGAUAUAAAGAAUUCGGUUGAACCUAAAAACACAUAUUUCGGUUAUGAAGACCACGAAAGAAAUUAUGUAUCCAGCUAGGAGGACGUAAAAUGCUCCGGUGAAAUUCUUCAAAGUGAUUUUUGUGCUAUUGCUUGAUAUUUUCUGCUGCUGCACUUUCUUAGACUCACUCAGACACUUGACGACAUUUCGGCGAUUUUGCAUGUCCCGACGAGUCCACAAAUCGAUCAGUCCAGCUCCGUGCAACUCCAUGAAUCUAGAUCAACGUUAAGGACCGAGUAUAGUUAAUCACGAGGAGGGACUAUUCUUUUUCAAAAUCCAUGCCAGCAUCGCGAACGAAUAAUCGAAUUCUUUGGCUAUCGCGAGAUGACACUUUCCCGUUUUCUUGUAAUCUUCAUCGAUGGCGUUCAACAUCACAAAAAUACCCUUGAAUUUCAAGUGCAGAAAGAAAUAGAAUCAGCGGACUGACAAACGCGCAAUGAAGUAUCUUACGUCACCUUACUUGUAAAUAAACGUAAGAUCCCGUUUUAACCAGGUCAAUGCAAUCUUGUUCUGUCUCGCAGCGGGAUUUCGGAUUAGAUCGUAAUUUAUCGCCCAACUGUUUGAAGACACCUUCUGUUGCAGCCUAUGAAAAUAAAGGACCAUAUCUACACCGUAUCCCCUAUCAACGACGAGCAAAACAUCUGGUUUUACGACGAGAUCCUUGAGGGAAUCAACCAACGCAUAGGCGUUGGGUCCCAGGAUAAAAGAAGUUAGAAGGCUGUUAUAGGCACAAACAAGGACCAAAGCUGCCAGACACCAAGAACCGAUCUUUAUUUAAUUCUGGCUGAAAUAUUUAGCUCACCUUGACUGAAGAGAACCUUGAUCAUUUCAAAGAAUACUUGACCAGUAGUCAAUGGAACGGGAGAAACACUUUCGUAAUAUAUAACUCUAUCAUCAUCUGAUGACCUAAACCAAUUAGUUGGGCGAAUGAAAAGCUGAAAAGGUUUUACAACAGCAGCCAUAUUAACUGUGGAUUGUGGCAUUGGCAUCAAGAGGACAGACGGUCCUAUUACUACGUCACAUUUCUAAAGAAGAGCUGAAAUGUAGUAAGCGAGGCCUGGAAGAUCAUCACUUUCCCUGUCAAUGCGGGUGUCGUUGACCUGUAGAACCGAAUAACUGCCAAUCGAGUCGUUUUUCAAUUACAUUCGUUUAUUAAGGUACGACGCAAAUGAGACUUAGUAUAACUUACGUAAAAUUGUAGCGUUGAGAAAGCACAUCGAGCGUUUCCGGUCCUACACCUUCCGCCUUAAUAACAUGACCACUGGCGUUUCUAGUUGAGCACAUGAUUACUGAAAACUAAAUUUCAUGUCAAUUAGUUUGUUUUAAAGACUGAUAAAUUUCAAGAUGGUGUAACCAACGUACCGGUGUCAGGGUCCCGAAAACAAUAUGUUGUCCGUUUAGCGCCGUCACUUCCGCUCCCAGAGGAAGAAACAGUUUCGCCAGAAUUAAAAAGAACAUCAAGAGAAAUGAGACUUCUUUCAUUUUUUAAAACCUUGCAGUUUCUGUGAAAAUGCAACUUGAAAGGAGCGUAGACCUUUUCAAGACUAAAAGUUGUUUACUUGUGUGAUCGUCGGAAAUGUGGCUCCUUUUCUUAUAUACGGUACGUUUUGUUUUUCCCUCCAAAACAUCACAUCUUGACGAUCCUUCAGUUGUCAGGGCAACUUGCUACAUCAACAAAAGGCUAUUUAUGUGAAAAUGUCAACUGCGUAUGUCAACAGGUAAAAGACACCUGUAAUG